AUGACUUUUACUUAACUAAGAAAGGCUUUGAAAAAAUGGCCUUUAUUAAAAUUUCGAUACAAUUUGAACCUUGAGAAAUCACUUUAAAAUUUGUGAAAGCAUUUUUUUUCGUUUACUUAAAUCAUAACCCGAGUUUAAAACAAACCAUUUUCAUAAAGAGUGCUACAUACAUGACUAUGAACGGGGUUUACAACAUACUUGUAAUACAGCGGAAGAAAAUAAACUUUAUUUAUAUACCCCGGUUUAAUAGACUAGAUUCCAAAAUCAGAGUACAAACUGAACUCGUAAAGAUCUCCAUUAUACAUUAGGCUUUUAAAAGGGAAAAGUGGAGAGAUAAUUUUGUAAGAAAUCCGGAGACGACAUAUAAGGCAUCAAGGCUUGUGAUUCCUCCAACUCCGCUUCGCUGCGCCACUCUGAUUACAUUGAAGACCUGAAAAGGGGAUUCACAUAAAGCGUGAGUCUAACCACUGGCUCAGUAUGAACAUUGGCCUGACGAUACUCACACCUCUCUCAACGUGUCACUCACGCCCUACGGGAGUCCUAAAGUCCUCGUCUAUGUUCUUUUCAUCUAUGUCUUUUAUGGCAUAACUAUAUUCAUUUUUUCAAUAUCAUGACAUUCAUUCAUAUCACAUAUAAUUGACCACAUAAGAAACUUAAUACAUAAAAUUAGGCAUAUAAUAAACUUGCAAUCAUUCAUUCAUACACUUAACAUGAAUGUCACAAUUACCUGUUACUUUAAACAUUCACGGAUACUUAACAUCCAACUUUCUUUUAUAAUCGGGUACUUAACACCCUUCUAUCAUUUAAGGGUACUUAACACCCUUUUAACUUUACUAUGCAAUAUGCAAUAUGCAACUUUUAGACUUCUAGACUUUUCAUGAAAUAAUGCAUGAGAAAACAUUGGGCCCGUUUGGAAAAACAAUCGUGAAGUUCGGCAAUAAGCCGUGUAUUUUGGAGCUUGUGAUCUAUAACAUUACUAUAGUCACGACUAUAACUUUACUAUAGCCAAGGUAGUGAUUUAUAAUGCCGAUUCCUAUGUGAAUCAGUCCCUAUGUGGACAGGUCCCUAUCUAGACCCCAACUAUCAACCACUAACCGGAAUAUAGUCACGGCUAUAACUUUACUAUAGCCGAGUUAGUGGUUUAUAAUCCCGAUUCCUAUGUGAAUCAGUCCCUAUGUGGACAGGUCCCUAUGUGGACCCCAACUAUCAACCACUAACGGAAUACCAGCCCCCCGUAUCCCAUACUUAUUCACCUAGAUCCACAACCAAUUUCCAAACAUUUUUAACUUUGAAAAAUCAUGAUUUAUGCAUCUUAGACUUACUAAUGAAUCAUAUGAUUUAUAAAUCUUUACUUUUAUAUAAACAACACCAAAGUAACAAGUACCAUACCAACUAUACUUCAAAUCUUUAAUCAAAUCAUUAAACACAUAAUCAUAUUGAACAUAACACUUUUACUUUCACAUUUCACUUCAUAAGUACACAUAAACAUUUCAUAACCCAAUGUAGCACACAGGAGGGCAUUCUUCAACUUUAACCAUAUCAUAGUCACAUAAUCACAUAAUCAUAUAAUCACACAUUCCUAUCAUUAAAAAUAUCACGUAUAUCACAUUUAAAUGCACCUUAGGCCAUAGCUAUCUAAUAUUUUACAUAAAGCAUCCAAUACUUUACCUUUAUCACAAGAUCACAUAACAACAUUUUAGACAUAUAAGUAUAAUUCAUAAGCCAUGGAUCGGAGUAUAAUCACGACCACGUAGGCAUAAAUAUAUAUAUAUAUAUAUAUAUAUAUAUAUAUAUAUAUAUAUAUAUAUAUAUAUAUAUAUAUUAGCAUACUUAUAAUAUUAUAAAACAUAAGCCAUGGGUUGGAGUAUAAUCACAACCACCCAGGCCUAAAUACAUAUAUAUAUAUUGAUGAUGCUAAUAUGUAGCUCACCUAGGGUAGUGUAGAAAAUGAGCUGGGAGAGCAAAGCAGAUCAGUAGCUUGACAACUUGAUGAUCCUGAGGUACUUGCAAUCAUAGAACACGUGAACUAGGCCGGGGGUUGAUCCGGCGGAAACCCCUCCGACGCUCAAGUCAGACGUGCGGAUAGUGGAAAUAGUCCAGAGAAUACGUAUUGUAGUAUUGCUCAGUUAAUAGGACGUACCUUAAUAAAAUGAGUAAAACCUCUAUUUAUAUGUCGUUUAUUGGGUUGGGUUUGCUUUGUUGGGCCCAAGCCUUACUUGAAGGUGUUUGGGCCUCGGUGAUAUUAGUCUUCGAUAUUGGGCUCGUAGCCCAGUAGGUACAGAAAUUGUAGGCCUAUUGGGUUGGCCCAAUUAGGCAUAUCAUUAAGCCCCCCACUUUCGAGUCGAUGUGGGGGCCAUGUUGUGAUGGGUCUCAGAUCGUGUCGAGAGUAAAAAUUGUAGAAGUCGAUCGUUGUCUUAUGGCCUAAUGGUAUGCGAAAACGCGUUGGAGCGUGUGUCGGAGGGGCGUGAAUGCGCGUUGGCGCAUAGCGCGACAAGGUUGUCGCGAUGUAAGUUAAUUGAGUCGUCGGUUUUGUCCUGCGACGAUGUAGUAGCGAAUUAUCUCCUCGUGAGAGUUGUCUUGUCGCGGGGUAAUAGUGUUGAUCGAGUUAUCUCCUCGUGGGAGUUGUCUCGCGAUAAUGUAGUAGCACGGAUCAAGUAAUCUCCUCGUGGGAGUUGUCUCUGGGGUAAUCGAGUUGAUCGAGUUACGUCCUCGUGGAAGUUGUCUCACGAUAAUGUAGUAGCACAGAGCUAGUACUCUCCUCGUGGGAGUUUUUAUUUUUCGACAUUGUCAAUGUUUUGACGCGUUGCUUAUAUGUGUUUACAUAUAGCCUUGUGCGUGAUGUACUUGAGGAGGGGAUCAGACUCUCAAGAUUUUUUUUGUUUUAUGGGGGUCGUGCCCCUUGUUAGACCUCGUGGGUCUUAAGUAUGUUUGGACCGUGGCCACGUUUUAAUGAAUGACCCAUUGAAAACAAGUAGAUAGAUUUGAGUAAUCAAGCUGGCCAGGCUAUAUAGAUUCUCAUAAUGUCAAGUGAUUCUAGGGUUGUAAUCGUGCUAACUUGAGCUUGUGAUUAUAUAGUGAUUUUCGGGCGAGUUGUCUCCUCAUGGGAGUUGUCUCGCGGUGAGUAAUAUUUAUCGAGUGAGGUGGUUGCACGUGGGAGUUGUCUUGCAACGAAUUUGUAGUGUCGAGCGAGUUGGCUCCUCGUGGGAGUUGUCUCGCUGCGGGUUGUAGUGUCAAGCGAGUGGUCUCCUCGUGGGAGUUAUCUCGUUGUGGUUUCGUACACCCGAGGGAGUUGGCUCCUCGUGGGAGUUGCCUCGCAACAGGUUAUAGGACAGAGCGAGUGGUCUCCUCGUGGGAGUUGUCUCGCUGUGGUGUUGAGAUCCGAGGGAGUUGGCUCCUCGUGGGAGUUGCCUCGCAACGGGUUGUAGGAUUGAGCGAGUGGACUCCUCGUGGGAGCUAUCUCGCUAUAGUUUAGAGACUAGAGGGGGUUAGCUCCUCGUGGGAGUUGUCCCGCAACGGGCUAUAGGAUGGAGCGAAUGGUCUCCUCGUGGGAGUUAUCUCGCUGUGGUUUUGAGAUCCGAGGGGGUUGACUCCUCGUGGGAGUUGCGUCGCAACGGGUUGUAGGAUUGAGCGAGUGGACUCCUCGUGGGAGUUAUCUCGCUAUAGUUUUGAGACUAGAGGGGGUUGUAUUAUUGCGCGAGUUGGCUCCUCGUGGGAGUUGUCUCGCAAGGGAGUUGUAGGAGCAUCGGAUGGCGCGCGACUGAGGAGCGCGCGGACUGAGGUCGCUCUGGGCGAAUUGUCUCCUCGUGGGAGUUAUCUUGAAACGGGUUGUAUGGCCGAGCGAGUUGUAUUACUGAGCGAGUUGGCUCCUCGUGGGAGUUGUCUCGCAAGCCCCCCACUCUCGAGAGGAUGUGGGAGCCACGUUGAAAAGGGUACCGGAUCGUGUCGAGAGUAGAUCGGUGCUGUAAUGUUUCGUUAGUCGUUGGCAAGGCGUGGAAAAAUAAUUUUUUUUAUUUAUCCGUUUGAUAGCGAGCGCGAUUUGGUAGGGGCGUUGAAGAGCUCGCGCUAUUUAAUUAAGCGAGGUGGAACUAUCAAGCGAUUUGGUGGAGUGCAAAGAAAUUCUCGCGCGAUUUAGUAAAGUGCGUCAAAAUCUUGACGUGAUUUGAGGUAAAGUUUCGAGAGCUGCGCGCGACCUCAGGUAUGCGAGCGCUAGGAGGUUGGAUGGGCGGCACGCAUUGGAGGACGCUGAUGUGCCUGAGUUCGCGCACACUUGGGGUCCGUGCGCGCAUUAGCCCACAAAGGGGAGGCACGCGCGCAUGUAUUAUACGGAGAGAGAGAGUGUGUAGCUGUUGAGAAUUUUAUGAGGAGUUGAUAGGGACUUCCUCGAGAAUGGCGCAACAUGUUGCUUUAUUCACUUUUUUUUUUCUUUUUUCUUUUUUUUUUCCCGGGAAGCGUGCCGAGCGCGCGCCUCGGGAAUCGUGCCCGCGCGCGCCUCGGUAACCGUGCCCAUUUUUUUUUUUUUUGCCUCGGGAAACGUGCCCGUUUUUUUUUUAAGGAAGCGUGUCAGAUGCGCGCCCUCGGGAAGCGUAGCGUGUGCGCCUCGAGAUUCGUGCCCGCGCGCACCUCGGGAAUCGUGCCCGAUUUUUUUUUUGCCUCGGGUAAAGUGCCCGUUUUUUUUUCGGGAAUCGUGCCCGUUUUUUUUCCAUGAAGCGUGUCGGAUGCCGCCUCGAGAAGCGUGUCGUGCGCGCCUCGGGAAUCGUGCACGAGUUUUUUUUUUUUUCGGGAAUCGUGCCCGUUUGUUUGUUUUUUUUUUUUUUUUUUUAAUGGAGCCGCGCGGUUUGGCUUGGGCGCGCGCCCGGCUCGGCUCUGGCGCGCUCGCGGCUCGGCUUGGCUGCACCUUCCUCUUCUUUUUUUUUUUUUUUUUUUUUUUUUUUUUGUAUGAGCCGCGCGGCUUGGCUCGGGCGCGCGCGCGGCUCGGCUCUGGCGCGCGCGCGCUCGGCUCGACUUGGCUGAUUUUCUUUUUUUUUUUUUUUUUACUCUCUUUUUUCUUCUUCUUGUUCUUGUAUUUUUUUUUAUCUUCUUUUUUCUUUUUCUUUUUUCUUCUUCUCUUUUUUCAUCUUCUUCUUUUUUCUUCAUCUUCUUCUUCUUUUUUCUUCAUCUUCUUCUAUUUUUUUUUUUUUUUUAUUUGGUUGAUAUUCACCCUCUUGGGGAUGUUCUAUUUUUUGAGUAGGAAGAUUAUCUUCGUCUCUUGCGAUGUGAUAUGAACCCACUUGGGGUUGAAAGGUAAGGGUGAUGUCCAACCUUAGGAUGGGGAUAACUGUCCACUGUAGGAUGAGGCGCUCGAGACCUAUGGUCUUAGGUGGAUGCGCACGGUUGUGCCAUUGGUUCGCGCGUGCGCGUCAGACCAUUUUUUCUGUUUUUUGAAGUAGGGACGUGAAACACUUGAUGGGAUGUGAAACCCCUUGGGGUUGAAAGGAAAGUGGAUGUACCACCCUUGAGAUGAGAUACCCAACUUUAGGAUGGGAUAGCCCCCAUUUAGGAUGAGGCGAUCACGAACCAUUGGGGUGAGAUGCCCAAUCUUGGCGAUAUAUGGUGCCACUGAUUCAGUGGCAUCACGAGUUGAAUCUUCCGUGAUCAUACGCUGAAGGUCUUCUUCGGUUAUCUGAACCGUUCGAGAAGUAAGUAGAAAUUGAUCAUGUUGAGGACCCAGUGGGGCCUCACGACGAGGAGCGUUGGCUCCUGCUAUGACGAUGUAUGAUGCCACUGCUUCAGUGGUAGCACAAGUUGAAGCUUCCGCAAUUAUACGCUGAAGGUCCUUAUCGGUUAUCUGAACCGUUAGAGGAGCCAGUAGAAGUUGAUCUUGUUGAAGGUUCGGCGAUCAUAUGCUGAAGGUCCUCUUCGGUUAUCUGAACCGUUAGAGGGGGGGCGGAAGUAGACCCCCAGAGAGUCGAUGACCCAUGGCGAAUGAAAUGUUUUGGAGGCACGGUGAACCCCCAGGGAGUUGAUAACCCUUGGCGAACGAAAUAUUUUGGGGGCAGAUGUAAGCCCCCAGGGAGUCGAUAACCCUUUGCGAACGAAAUAUUUUGGGGGCGAUGUAAGCCCCCAGGAAGUCGAUAACCCUUGGCGAACGAAAUAUUUUGGGGGCGAUGUAAGCCCCCAGGGAGUCGAUAACCCUUGGCGAGCGAAAUGUUUUGGGGGCGAUGUAAGCCCCCAGGGAGUCGAUAACCCUUGGCGAGCGAAAUGUUUUGGGGGCACUGUAUACCUCCAGGGAGUCGAUGGCGGUGGUUAGACCUGACCACGGUUCGGUUCCGGUUCCGGUUCCGAACCGCCGGUUCCGGUUCCAAUUUUGGAGGAACCCGGAACCGAAACCGAAAAAAUCCGGUUCCUUGCGGUUCGGUUCCUAACCGGGUUCCGGGUUCGGUUCCGGGUUCGGUUUUCCGGUUAGAAACCGGGUAGAACCGCCCGGGUCCUUUAAUACUAAUUUUUUAUUUUUAUUAUAUAUACAUAUACAUAUACAUAUAUAGAUAAUAUAUAAAAAAAAAACCUGAAAUAAACUCUUUUAAAAAGUUUUUUUUAAGGGGGAAAGUAAUUUAAAAAACCUAAUUUUUUUCUUAAACUGAAAUUUGUGUUUCUGAAANNNNNNNNNNNNNNNNNNNNNNNNNNNNNNNNNNNNNNNNNNNNNNNNNNNNNNNNNNNNNNNNNNNNNNNNNNNNNNNNNNNNNNNNNNNNNNNNNNNNNNNNNNNNNNNNNNNNNNNNNNNNNNNNNNNNNNNNNNNNNNNNNNNNNNNNNNNNNNNNNNNNNNNNNNNNNNNNNNNNNGUAAGCGCUUGAUUACACAGUAGUCUUUGUUGUCUUCACCACUUUCUGAAACCAAUAGUCCGUCAGAACCCUAUCGGAAUAACGUAUCCAAUUCAUUAUCCCAUUAGAGUUUCUGACUACGUUUCAGGGGGCUAAGUGUAAUUAUCGAUACCAUAGGGACCUUACAGUUAUUUAAGCAUACCUCAGGGGGGUGUGUGUAAUUUACCCUUUAAUUUAUCACACAUGAAGUUCUAAUCCACAUAAUUUCAGUCACAUAGAUAAUCGAUAACACAUAACAAUAAUCAGGAACUUUUAGAUCAUCUAAAUAGCACAUAAGUUCUAUAAACAAUUUAAUUAUCAUCAUUCCUCACAUUAUAAUCAUACACUGACUUAUCCCCGGUCUCUAAUUUCUUCAAGUGUUAUUCUAUCAGCUAAAUACUCUAAAUCAUUUGUUCUAAGUUCAGUCAUGCUAUUAAGGUUAUGCAUUAAGAGUUUAAAACAUGCUCACAAUUAAUUCCAUCAAUUCAAAGAAAUUUAUUUUAGCAAAUAGGGCUGUUUUAGUACUUUAAUUUUGAAAAUUCAUUUCUCUUUAAUCAUGCAUCCCAAAAUUCUGAAACUUUAACAUCAUACUCUUUCCAGCGUUAAAAGUACCCAUUUAAAACAGUUUUCUAAAAUACCUAUCCAAGUAAGAGAAAUACUUAAAACCGUGCAGUUUUGUAGUCGAAAUUCCAGAAACAGAGCAAUGACUUCAAAAAUACCAAAUACAUUAUUUUAUUUUCCAAACACCGUAAAAUUUUGACUGAGAUUACAUUUAUAUGUCUAAUAUCUAAUCCAAGUGGAAUCAGGAUGAUCGGAGUAGCAGAAGAUCAGAUUUAACAUGCAUUUCUCUCAUGACUCACAAUCUGUGCAGUUCCGAAAAAUAAAUCACAACUUAAUCAUUUUAAAUCCAAAUAAUACAAACUGUAUAUCAAAUUCAAGAUAACAGAGAGAUCUAUAUUCUCUAGAAAUUUUACAUUUUUAUAAAAAUACAUCGUCUAUGAAACGAGGCUUAAACUCCGUGACUAUGAAUCUGUAAAUUUCAAUCUAAGCAUCUAGUUCAAGAUUCUAAACUCAAUCAUCCUAUAAUCAUAGAAUUCAAUCUUAAACACAUAAUAUUAACAUAAAGACAUCAGUAAACUUAACAUGCAAUUCAAUUUCAGUAAAGACCAAGGGGUCCUUACCCAUUUGAAGAAAAUCAAAGAUAAGAGAAGGAGAAAUCGAAGGAUUCAUGGAGGUCUUCGAGUUUUGGCCAUGGAUGAUCUUGGGAUGCUUUGGGCUGAGUUUGAAGGCUGUAGGAGGGUUGUUUUCUUGGAGUUUAUUGAUGAGAGAAACCUUUUAUGAGUAUAUGCUGAAUUAUUGAGAAGAAAGAAG
rnacentral:lncRNA from 1 species